GUGCGUCUUUGCGUCAAGUUCAUGCCAGUAUGCAAAAAAGUAUGCUAUUGCUAACAACACCAUAUGAGCAAUGCCAAGAAGAGCGUCAUUGAUGAACAUGAUUUCAGGAACAUUUGCUUAAGCCUGUCUAGAUUUUCAGUAAAGGUUGGAGGAAAGUCACCAUCCGCAUUUGUGGAAACAAGUGGCUGCUUCCCUGAAGAGACUGGGCCACUGAAGUCAGCAUUUUACGUGGAUCAACACUCAAAGCAUCUGCAUGAGGGUCAGAAUGAAGGAUGCCCACUGGAGCUGGGAAUUGUUGAUCAGGUGGAUCAACACUCCAACCACCUGCAUCUGGAUCUGCUUUAGAGACACCCACUGGAGCUGAAAAAGAUGAAGCAGGUGGAUCAGCAUGUAAACCAUUUGCAUAAGGAUCUGCAUGAAGGAUGCUCACAAGAGCUGGGAAUGCUGGAUCAAUUGCCGGGCAACAUCCCUGGUGAACACCUUGGAGCAAAUUCUCCAUACUGUCUUCUUCAUAUUUGGCCCACCGCUGAUUGAUAGUCUGUUCACCUUCAACAGGUUUUGUUCUAGCCUGUCUAGGUCUGCAAUGGAUGCUAAAGGAAAGACACCACCUUCCUCCUCUUCAUCCAUUUGCAUUUGGGGUACAACGCGCCUGUUUCCCAAUAGAGACUGGACCAGUGAAGUCAAAUGGUUGAUCUUCAUGUCCAUUUUCUCUAUUGUUUCCAGAAUUGCCCUUUCAACAGCUGCAAUACAGUUGAUGCUUUUUACCUCGAGUGUUAGGUGGAUCAACACUCCAGCUGUGAUGGUCUGCCUGAGUGAUGCCCACUGGAGCUGAGAAAGGUGGAUUGAUGCUUUUUACCUCGAGUGUUAGGUGGAUCAACACUCCAGCUGUGAUGGUCUGCCUGAAUGAUGCCCACUGGAGCUGAGAAAGAUGGAGUAGGGUCUCAGGACAGAAAAGGUGGAUAAACACUCCAGUCAUGAUGCUGAGAGACACUCACUGGAGCUGACAGAGGUGGAGUAGAUUGGUGGCUCAACACUCCAGUCGUGAUGUCGAGAGACACCCACUGGAGCUGACAGAGUUGAUUUGAUGCUUUUUACCUCGAGUGUUAGGUGGAUCAACACUCCAGCUGUGAUGGUCUGCCUGAGUGAUGCCCACUGGAGCUGAGAAAGAUAACCAUCAUCACGAGGGAGAGUUUUCUCCGCAGCACCGGCAUUAUUGUAUCUAGUCAGAAGAACGGGCUUUCACCGAAGCAGGUCUAUCAACAUCCCAACUGUCUCUGUGAUUGUCUGUCAGAAAGGUGGAGUGGAUCAACAUUCCUGCCAUCUUUAGUAUGUUCUGCCUGAGAGAUGCCUACUUGAGCUAAGAAAGGUGGAGUGGAAUAAGCACUGUGAGAAACCGCCCCAUGUGUAUUCUGCGUCAAUCAGCCAAACAACUCAAUAGGUACUGCUGGAGGUUUGGGUGCGGGUGCAACACUUCCUUUGUGUAUCGUUUUUCUUUUUUUUUGUUGUUGAGGUUCUUGUACCUCGUCUUCUGAGGAACACAUGAAAUCGGAGAAGGUUUUUCUUCUAGGAAAACAAAGACAAGAUGGCAAUUGCACACACAUUUCAUAGCCCUUUAUUUGCUAUGUAGCAAGUAUAUGUGUGAUUAAUCCAAUUGAAUGUUUGAAACUAAGGUAAAUUACAGCAGUUUUCAUGUUAAACCAUGUUUUGUCAUGUUCUUUUGUUGUAACUUACUUGUGAGAUCUUUUUUCUGGGAUUUCAGAUUCCGAAUUAAUAUCUGAUGUGUAGCUGGCCUUUUUCCAAUUGCUAGCAACAUUCUGAAAAGAUGCUGGAAAAUGAAAUUAAGGUAAUGUUUAUUUUUUAUUUAUUUUUGUAGAGAAAAUGCAGAAAAUUGACAAGAUGAUGAAAAACUAAAAACAGAUGAAGAGUUUUGUUGCAAAACUUAAGUUUUUAAAUUUUUGUCAAAACGUGUUUGUUAUGUUAAUAUUUUGUUGUAUGGUGCUACUUAGCUGUAUUUUAAGUUAUGAAGGUUUAAAUCAAAACAAAACGACUGAAGUCGAAUUUAUAUUAAUUGGAAUGCACAACCAAAAAUGAGAUUUCUGAAUAAAACCCCGCAGUUAUCUCAUUUUGCAUCGAAACUCUUCAGAUAUUGUUUUUUACUCUGGGCAAGGUCAUUUUAAUUUAUAAUAAUAUUUACUCCUCUCACCUGAUUC